CCCCAGUACCCUUAUGUCAGUCAUUUUAACAGUCAGUGGUUGUCUGGUCAAGUCUGGGUCAGCCCAUGGUUCGAAAAAUUGGGCCUCUGUCUUUUCUCUAUUCAAUCUCGCCCCAGAGGCUCAUCCAUACCAGUCUGUCAUGUCCAGGGUCCUGUCAACAGAUAAAAGGUCAGUACAUAAAAUGUUGACAUCGUCCAUGUAUAUAUACUUUACCUGAUAGCAGUUUGUCGGACAGAGAUCUCUUUCUCUGUCACCAGCAGUCUACUACCUUAGAUAUGGAUGACGUGAUUGGCAGACUUGAUCAGCAGAGAUAGUACCAUGGAUAGUACUCAAGUUUCGAUUGGUUUACAGUUUAGUUCAGUUUGCCUGUCCAGCUAGCGAACAUAAUUUUUUUAUUUUUUUUUAUUAGAAAAUUGACAUUGCCAACAAACGGAAAUAGAUAUACACAAUAUGUAAAAUCCAGCUCCUCCUUCGACAGAGAUCGAUCGUCUCGAUAACUAAAGUAAGCAAAUAGCUUGCUACGGUUCACACGCGUAUCUACCCGCUUGUAGGUUAGAAUGGUCCCACCUGAUCUCACCUCCUCCCGCCUGCCUUCCAUCUUUGAGGACAUGCAUUUCCAUUAUUAGAGCGGUCACUCAAAUAUCUUCUCAAUGUAAUAGACAAUAUUUGGCGCUACACCCCAAACGUUUGCCCCGUUCUAUUGAUUUCAGCGUGAUAUCGAUGGAAUGGAGUAACAACUAAAAGUGUUGCAUUACACUUAAAGAGUUGGCGACCCAUUUCAGUCAAAAUGCGACACUUCAAAAUGUAGCUAGCUGUCUUCUACAAAUUGUUCUCUGACCAGUGAUGUACACACUAUUCCCAGAGUGUGAUUUUUGAGCUGUGUUCGUUUUAAGCAUGAUACGCCGGCAUAGGGGUGGAGGGGCAAGACCAUGCAGGAUCCUAAAGACAAAGCUUGCAUCUACACACUGCUUAAAGUAAUUAUGUUUGUAAAUUAUAUGACAAUGGUGGUGGUAACUGUUAGGUUUGUUAUCAAAAAUCUUAAGUGUUUGUUUGUAGAGUAGCUCCUGCUUGUGACCAGCAUGUGAGGCAAUAUCUCAGAUGUGAGAAGACCAUAGCAUGCAUAUAUAGUUUUGCGGCCUCCAGAGGAAGGAGCGGUCUUAUAAACCUAAAGUUGGAUAAUCCAAACUUAACCGUGUUAACCACCUUCUUCACAUGUUUCUUACAUGUCGAGUUGGAGUCCAAAAUGACGCCGAGAUACCUGAAGUUAGACACAACUUUCAGAUUCUCCCCAUUGCAAGAACAGCUCGUUGGGAAGAAUCAAUGGAUUUCUUAGAGAAGUACAAACAAACAGUUUUGUCGAUAUUUAAAUGCAGGCAAUAAUUACUCAUCCAUUUAGAAACAUGUACCAUAGCUUCAGUUAACUUGUUCACAACUAAUUGGCUAUUUUUGGAGUGUACAUACAGAACCGUAUCGUCUGCAUACAUCCGCAUGUUAACUUGUGUUCAAGCAAGUGGGAGAUCAUUUAUAUAGAUGGUAAACAGAAGGAGGCCUAAUAUUGACGCUGUGGGACCCCAAUGUUAUAGUAAAGAGAGUCCGACUGAGUGUCCCCCAAACGAACCCUUUGACUUCUGUUUGUCAGAUAGGAAUACAUCCAACUAAUGACUUCAGUGGACACAUUAAGUGAGGAUAGUUUAGAUAGGAGGACCUCAUGAUCCAAAAAGACCACCUAUGUCCAGUUUAGAUUUAAUGCACUUCAGAAAAUAGCAAUUGUCUGUUUCGGUAGAAUGGUUAGUUUUCAAUCCAAAUUGCAUUUGAUGUAUAGGGUUGCCUUGAAUGAGGUCAGUCAGAUGAUCAGCCACCCAUCUUUCAGCUACCUUUGAUAGGACUGUAAGAAUGCUUAUAGUCCACCUGGCCGUGCUGCUGCUCCAGUUUCAACUGUUCUGCCUGCGGCUAUGGAACCCUGACCUGUUCACCGGAUGUGAUACCUGUCCCAGACCUGCUGUUUUCAACUCUCUAGAGACAGCAGGAGCGGUAGAGAUACUCUCAAUGAUCGGCUAUGAAAAGCCAACUGACAUUUACUCUUGAGGUGCUGACUUGUUGCACCCUCGACAACUGUGAUUAUUAUUAUUUGACCAUGCUGGUCAUUUAUGAACAUUUGAACAUCUUGGCCAUGUGCUGUUAUAAUCUCCACCUGGCACAGCCAGAAGAGGACUGGCCACCCCUCAUAGCAUGGCUCCUCUCUAGGUUUCUUCCUAGGUCUUGGCCUUUCUAGGGAGUUUUUCCAAGCCACCGUGCUUCUACACCUGCAUUGCUUGCUGUUUGGGGUUUUUGGCUGGGUUUCUGUACAGCACUUUGAGAUAUCAGCUGAUGUACGAAGGGCUAUAUAAAUACAUUUGAUUUGAAAUUUGAUUUGAUACAGAAGUACUGAUUGUCCAUGUUUAUCAGUAGGGGAAAAUAUGCCUGAGCAGACAGUGUUUAAAUGAGAAAUGAGAAAAUGUGCAAGAGUUGAAGGUGUCAACAAAUGUUAUAGUCAUCAUAAGAAUGUUUUACUUCAUAUAUAAAAAAAGAAAUCAGUUCCUCGCUCGACUGGGAUCGAUCAACUUCACUCUUUUCGGCUUCGGCCCACCACCUAAUUUUCUUCUUCAUUGGCUGAUUGGUCUUAACUCAUAGGAAUCCCCAGCAAGUCGAAUAUUUUAAAAUGGUGCAUGCCCUCAAUGGCAAUGUCUAGUGGCCAUGAGGUGGGGGUAAGAUGGCUGACAGGAAAAAAAGGAGAAAACAUAUUAUAAUCAAAUAUGGAAUGGGGGAAUGCACAAGCCUUCUGUAUCAUCUGAUGAAGGAAAAGGUGGUGGACAGGGAAGAAAUGAGAAAAGUGGAACAUGUUUUGAGUGAAUAUUGAGUGGUGGAUCACACAACUUUUGGAAGACCUAAACACACCUGACGAGUGUGAGGAUGAAUUAACUGCGGUGGGAGGUGUGAUGAAGACCACCGAGUUUUAGCUUUGUCCUUAUGAUGGCAGAGAUGAUUCUGGCCCAGUGGGAGUGAGAUUUUUGGAGAGAAUUGAUCCUUGCCUUCUGGCAGAUCCAUAUGUGGUGUCAGAUUGGGUGGAGAAGAGGUUGGGGAAUGUAGAGUCGGUGAAAGUGACUCGAAGUUGAAUGGUGUUGAUUUUUUGCGUUUCCGCCAUCCAGAGGGAGUGUGCGCUCUGUAACACACGAUUGUGGACAAGAACUGUGACUUGCUUAAGUUUUGAAGAGAAUCAACUGAAGUUGAAAAUUCCCGGUGUCUGUCGACCCGCCGUUUGAUUUUUGGGGAAAUUCACCUGUUUUAGUUAAAGCUGCAAUAUGCAACUUUUUUGGAGACCACAAAAUUCACAUUUAGUUAUAGAUCUGUAAUUCACAUUGAAAGCAAGUCUAAGAAGUGGUAGACCUGUUCUAUAUGUGCUAUUUCUAUGCUUCCCGUUAUUAAGUUUCAUUUUUGCAUAUUUUACUUUCGGUUUUAUACACUUGGUACCGGAGCCCAAAAGGCUCCUUAACAGCUUCUACCCCCAAGCCAUAAGACCCCUACCUACAUGUACAAAUUACCUCGACUAACCUGUACCCCCACACAUUGACUCGGGACCCCCUGUAUAUAGCCUCAUUAUUGUUAUUUUAUUGUGUUACUUUUUAUUACAUUUUUUACUUUAGUUUAUUAAGUAAAUAUAUUCUUAACUCUAUUUCUUGAACUGCAUUGUGGGUUAAGGGCUUGUAAGUAAGCAUUUCACGGUAAGGUCCACUACACCUGUUAUAGCCUACGGAGCUGUGAAGGGAACGGCACCUCCAUACCUUCAGGCUCUGAUCAGGCCCUACACCCAAACAAGGGCACUGCGUUCAUCCAC
rnacentral:lncRNA from 1 species